rnacentral:rRNA from 1 species
CGAAUGCUGACAUAAGUAACGAUAAAGCGGGUGAAAAGCCCGCUCGCCGGAAGACCAAGGGUUCCUGUCCAACGUUAAUCGGGGCAGGGUGAGUCGACCCCUAAGGCGAGGCCGAAAGGCGUAGUCGAUGGGAAACAGGUUAAUAUUCCUGUACUUGGUGUUACUGCGAAGGGGGGACGGAGAAGGCUAUGUUGGCCGGGCGACGGUUGUCCCGGUUUAAGCGUGUAGGCUGGUUUUCCAGGCAAAUCCGGAAAAUCAAGGCUGAGGCGUGAUGACGAGGCACUACGGUGCUGAAGCAACAAAUGCCCUGCUUCCAGGAAAAGCCUCUAAGCAUCAGGUAACAUCAAAUCGUACCCCAAACCGACACAGGUGGUCAGGUAGAGAAUACCAAGGCGCUUGAGAGAACUCGGGUGAAGGAACUAGGCAAAAUGGUGCCGUAACUUCGGGAGAAGGCACGCUGAUAUGUAGGUGAAGCGACUUGCUCGUGGAGCUGAAAUCAGUCGAAGAUACCAGCUGGCUGCAACUGUUUAUUAAAAACACAGCACUGUGCAAACACGAAAGUGGACGUAUACGGUGUGACGCCUGCCCGGUGCCGGAAGGUUAAUUGAUGGGGUCAGCGCAAGCGAAGCUCUUGAUCGAAGCCCCGGUAAACGGCGGCCGUAACUAUAACGGUCCUAAGGUAGCGAAAUUCCUUGUCGGGUAAGUUCCGACCUGCACGAAUGGCGUAAUGAUGGCCAGGCUGUCUCCACCCGAGACUCAGUGAAAUUGAACUCGCUGUGAAGAUGCAGUGUACCCGCGGCAAGACGGAAAGACCCCGUGAACCUUUACUAUAGCUUGACACUGAACAUUGAGCCUUGAUGUGUAGGAUAGGUGGGAGGCUUUGAAGUGUGGACGCCAGUCUGCAUGGAGCCGACCUUGAAAUACCACCCUUUAAUGUUUGAUGUUCUAACGUUGACCCGUGAUCCGGGUUGCGGACAGUGUCUGGUGGGUAGUUUGACUGGGGCGGUCUCCUCCUAAAGAGUAACGGAGGAGCACGAAGGUUGGCUAAUCCUGGUCGGACAUCAGGAGGUUAGUGCAAUGGCAUAAGCCAGCUUGACUGCGAGCGUGACGGCGCGAGCAGGUGCGAAAGCAGGUCAUAGUGAUCCGGUGGUUCUGAAUGGAAGGGCCAUCGCUCAACGGAUAAAAGGUACUCCGGGGAUAACAGGCUGAUACCGCCCAAGAGUUCAUAUCGACGGCGGUGUUUGGCACCUCGAUGUCGGCUCAUCACAUCCUGGGGCUGAAGUAGGUCCCAAGGGUAUGGCUGUUCGCCAUUUAAAGUGGUACGCGAGCUGGGUUUAGAACGUCGUGAGACAGUUCGGUCCCUAUCUGCCGUGGGCGCUGGAGAACUGAGGGGGGCUGCUCCUAGUACGAGAGGACCGGAGUGGACGCAUCACUGGUGUUCGGGUUGUCAUGCCAAUGGCACUGCCCGGUAGCUAAAUGCGGAAGAGAUAAGUGCUGAAAGCAUCUAAGCACGAAACUUGCCCCGAGAUGAGUUCUCCCUGACUCCUUGAGAGUCCUGAAGGAACGUUGAAGACGACGACGUUGAUAGGCCGGGUGUGUAAGCGCAGCGAUGCGUUGAGCUAACCGGUACUAAUGAACCGUGAG